UCGAACAUAUAAUUUUCCCCCCGUAAUAUAGCAAAGAUCACGAAAAGGCUCGAAAAAUUACAUUUAGUUCAAAAUUUUUAGUAGAAAAAACCCAAUAGAAGAAUUCCAUUUUCCUUCCUCAGUCAUCGGAGAGCUCUCUUUGGGCUUUCCGAAAAGGUAUCACAUGCCAAGUUUGGCCUCACGGUCUAAAAGUUAUAGAGUCAUACAUUUUUAACAAAACAAAAUUGAGAAAAACCGAAAAAAAGAGGGAUGCAACACGAGGACUCUCCAAAAGGUAACCCAUCUUAGUACUACUCUCGCCCAAGCACCCUUAACUGCGGAGUUCUGAUGGGACCCGGUGCAUUUGUGCUGGUAUGAUCGCAUGUGUCACUACAUGCAAUGUAAUCGUAUCUAUUCUUUUUUAAAGACUUUAUGAUCCAUUUGCAGUGGGUCCUACCAGCUAUGUAGGAAUACCCUACCUUCUUUAUAAGAGCUUUCAUACAUGCAUAAUAUUGGAAAACAAUGUCCGAAGAUAUAAUUUUCCCCCCAUAAUAUAGCAAAGAUCACGAAAAGGCCCGAAAAAGUACAUUAUGUUCAAAAUUUGGAGUCGAAAAAAAACCAAUAGAAGAAUUCCAUUUUACUUCCUUAGUCAUCGGAGAGCUCUCUUUGGGCUUUCCGAAAAGGUAUCACAUGCCAAGUUUGGCCUCACGGUCUAAAAGUUAUAGAGUCAUACAUUUUUAACAAAACAAAAUAGAGAAAAACGGGAAAAAAGAGGGAUGUAACACGAGGACAUUCCGGGAGGUCACCCAUCCUAGUACUACUCUUGCCCAAGCACCCUUAACUGCGGAGUUCUUAUGGGAUCCGGUGCAUUAGUGUUGGUAUGAUCGCAUGUGUUACUACAUGCAAUGUAAUCGUAUCUAUUCUUUUUAAAGACUUUAUGAUCCAUUUGCCGUGGGUCCCACCAGCUAUGUAGGAAUACCCUAUCUUCUUUAUAAGAGCUUUGAUACAUGUAAAAUAUUGGAAAACAAUGUCCGAAGAUAUAAUUUUCCCCCGUAAUAUAGCAAAGAUCACGAAAAGGCCCGAAAAUGUACAUUAAGUUCAAAAUUUGGAGUAGAAAAAAAAAACAAUAGAAGAAUUCCAUUUUCCUUCCUCAUUCAUCGGAGAGCUCUCUUUGGGCUUUCCGAAAAGGUAUGACAUUCCAAGUUUGGCCUCAUGGUCUCAAAUUUAUAAAGUCAUACAUUUUUCACAAAA
rnacentral:sRNA from 1 species